rnacentral:rRNA from 2 species
UACAUGCAAGUCGAACGAACUCUGGUAUUGAUUGGUGCUUGCAUCAUGAUUUACAUUUGAGUGAGUGGCGAACUGGUGAGUAACACGUGGGAAACCUGCCCAGAAGCGGGGGAUAACACCUGGAAACAGAUGCUAAUACCGCAUAACAACUUGGACCGCAUGGUCCGAGCUUGAAAGAUGGCUUCGGCUAUCACUUUUGGAUGGUCCCGCGGCGUAUUAGCUAGAUGGUGGGGUAACGGCUCACCAUGGCAAUGAUACGUAGCCGACCUGAGAGGGUAAUCGGCCACAUUGGGACUGAGACACGGCCCAAACUCCUACGGGAGGCAGCAGUAGGGAAUCUUCCACAAUGGACGAAAGUCUGAUGGAGCAACGCCGCGUGAGUGAAGAAGGGUUUCGGCUCGUAAAACUCUGUUGUUAAAGAAGAACAUAUCUGAGAGUAACUGUUCAGGUAUUGACGGUAUUUAACCAGAAAGCCACGGCUAACUACGUGCCAGCAGCCGCGGUAAUACGUAGGUGGCAAGCGUUGUCCGGAUUUAUUGGGCGUAAAGCGAGCGCAGGCGGUUUUUUAAGUCUGAUGUGAAAGCCUUCGGCUCAACCGAAGAAGUGCAUCGGAAACUGGGAAACUUGAGUGCAGAAGAGGACAGUGGAACUCCAUGUGUAGCGGUGAAAUGCGUAGAUAUAUGGAAGAACACCAGUGGCGAAGGCGGCUGUCUGGUCUGUAACUGACGCUGAGGCUCGAAAGUAUGGGUAGCAAACAGGAUUAGAUACCCUGGUAGUCCAUACCGUAAACGAUGAAUGCUAAGUGUUGGAGGGUUUCCGCCCUUCAGUGCUGCAGCUAACGCAUUAAGCAUUCCGCCUGGGGAGUACGGCCGCAAGGCUGAAACUCAAAGGAAUUGACGGGGGCCCGCACAAGCGGUGGAGCAUGUGGUUUAAUUCGAAGCUACGCGAAGAACCUUACCAGGUCUUGACAUACUAUGCAAAUCUAAGAGAUUAGACGUUCCCUUCGGGGACAUGGAUACAGGUGGUGCAUGGUUGUCGUCAGCUCGUGUCGUGAGAUGUUGGGUUAAGUCCCGCAACGAGCGCAACCCUUAUUAUCAGUUGCCAGCAUUAAGUUGGGCACUCUGGUGAGACUGCCGGUGACAAACCGGAGGAAGGUGGGGAUGACGUCAAAUCAUCAUGCCCCUUAUGACCUGGGCUACACACGUGCUACAAUGGAUGGUACAACGAGUUGCGAACUCGCGAGAGUAAGCUAAUCUCUUAAAGCCAUUCUCAGUUCGGAUUGUAGGCUGCAACUCGCCUACAUGAAGUCGGAAUCGCUAGUAAUCGCGGAUCAGCAUGCCGCGGUGAAUACGUUCCCGGGCCUUGUACACACCGCCCGUCACACCAUGAGAGUUUGUAACACCCAAAGUCGGUGGGGU